rnacentral:tmRNA from 1 species
GGGGCCGACCGGAUUUGACAGGAUGAGUGAUUACGUGUGUAAGCAUGCAGGCGCAUAGGAUGCGCGCCUUAACCCUGAGUCCUAAAACACACUUGGCGAAUCUAAUUACGCCAUGGCCGCCUAAUUUUAGUCUAAUAGAUUAAAAUUACAGGCUUAACCGGUUGAGCGAAUCGCUCCCGGGCCACAUCCUGCCGACCGCUGUUCCGCUCGGUUGGGUUACAGGGUGUCGACUCAGUGGAACUAGCUAAGGUAGCACUGCGAUGCUUUAGCGAAAUUUUAGCAGAUACGGUUGCCCGCAGGUGGGCUGUUUACCUUAGGCAACUCGACAACCCAAACAAUAGCUAAGCAUGUAGAAGAUGCGAUAGUUACCUUCUCUGGACGAGGGUUCGAAUCCCUCCGGCUCCACCA